AGGUCCUCAGCGGCUAGGCGUCUCAGAUUUGGAGGUUCCGGUUCGAGGCUCGAGGGGCCAGACGGCGUCCCUCCCUCCCGGGGCCCCGCACGAUGGUACGGCCUGCUCCGCCAGCGUCACGUGGGCGCCCCCUCUGUGACGUCGGCGUCUUCGCUGUAGCAAAGCUCGGCCUCUGGAAUUCUGAGAACUAAUUUGCUAUUCGGUGACAUAAGAGGGGGAGUGCGCUUUGCUUUCCCGGGGUCUGGGGCUAAUUCCUCCUCUCUUACCCAUAAACUCAGCUCCUCGAGCUAAAUACACAAAAGGGAGCGAGAGGUUCGACCCGUUGGAAAAAGUCUGUUAUAUAUAGUAGCUUUAGAGGCGAGGUAGAGAAAAAAACAAUAAACACCACAGCUCUUUUCAGCUAGAAUAUUAGGCACCAGGAGAAAAAUAUUUGCCAAGCAGUUUUCGUUUAUCACGGAAAGAGGACAUAGAGUGAGCAUCCCUGCAAAAGAGCCAUUUGCUGUGGCCUUACAUUCAGAGAAGUCCUCAGAGUUGGACUUUUGACAUGCUCUCCACUGAGGUUCUGCUGCAGUCUUAGUGGCGCACUGACAGGAUCGAAAGAAGACCUUCACACACAAGUUUUGUGUGCGGGUCCCGCCGCAAGACCCAGUGUAGGAGCCCUCCCAGUCCCCCAUGGUGCCGUGAUUUCAUACUGUUACUAAAUCUAGAAUUGUCAUGAAUCAUGUGAUUGUAUUGUAAUUGUGUGUAUGUUGGUGUUUAAAAUGUAAAUUUUUAAAUAUAUAUGGCCUAGAGGCAACAAUGCCACAGUAGCAAUGAGCACACCUCAUGCCCAGAUUGUACCAUAAAAUAAGGAUUUGCUAAAAAAAAAAAAAAAAAAAAAAAAGAAGCCAAACAAACACACAAAAAAAUCCCUGCAUUGCUGGGGGAUAUUUCAGAGACACUGGAGCCAUCUGAAGAGCUCCCAAUGGCCAAAGCUGCAAAAUUUGAGUGACAAGAUAGAAUAAUAUUAGAUUAUAACCCAAAGUAUAAAAUAAAUGUCCACAAGUUUACACAGAUAUAAAUAAAUUAUGGGAAAAAUUAAUAAAUGGAAGAGACAAAUUUCCCAUGCAGAAGGAUUCCAAAUAAUUUAUGUAGAUAUUCUCCCCUGAAGGAGGGAGAGUAUAAUUCCCCUCUCCUCAAGUGUGAGCUGGGCAUAGUGACUUGCUUCCCAAGACUGUGGUAUGGUAAGGGGAAUGGGGGAGGUAA